rnacentral:piRNA from 1 species
GAAACACAGCCAGGAGUGAUGGACAACC